rnacentral:lncRNA from 1 species
GUUAUUUGGCUGGAGUGAGGUCUCAUGUCUGCUUAUGCGGUGGCUCGCUGCUCAGAACAGGACGUCUCACUCUUGUCGCCCAGGCUGGAGUGUAAUGGCAUGAUCUCGCCUCACUGCAACCUCCACCUCCUGGGUUCAAGCAAUUCUCCUGUCUCAGCCUCCCGAGUAGCUGGGACUACAGGCACUCAUCACCACACCUGGCUAAUUUUUGUAUUUUUAGUAUUUUCUGGUGAGGGUCCAGGUUUCCGGAAACAACUCAGAGACAUAUGUUAAGAUGUUAUCUUUAGUUUUCACAGGGAACCAAAUAUGUUACGACUCCAAUUUCCUUGGCUAUUGUUUUAAGUUACCAUUACCUUCUCGUUGAUCAAGUUGCUCAUUUACUUCUCAAGCCUAGCUAGAUGCCUGGAAUUUCCCUUGAAGGAAGUCAAGAUUUUCCUUUAUCUCCAUACUGGCUGAUGGUGAUCGAGUAAGCCCCUAAGAGGGGUCCCUGCUCCAUCUCGAGAUGCUGCUAGAUUCUACAGUGCCUAAUAAACAGCUCUCGCCUGGCCGACAAAGAGCUGCUUGCUCUCUGGAUAGCAAUUCCAAAGUGAACAGACAACAUCCUGUUUGGAAGACUGCCACUCUGUUAGAAGAAGCAUCAGGAAAACCUUUCUUUUGAGCUAUUUAUAACUAACAGCAAUUGACCAAGUAUACUUUUGUGAGUGAAACUGACCUUUCUCCCUGUAAGAAUUCUCCAAAAUUUGGAAACUAUUUAUUCGGUUUUCUUUCGUAACAGGAACCAUUGGAGAUACUCAUUACUCUUUGAAGGCUUACAGUGGAAUGAAUUCAAAUACGACUUAUUUGAGGAAUUGAAGUUGACUUUAUGGAGCUGAUAAGAAUCUUCUUGGAGAAAAAAAGACUGGAUCUUUCAUUGUAGUACUUCUGAAUUAACCAAAAUCACAGUAUUCUGAAGAUGAUUCUACAAAGCCUGCUGUUUCUACAAAGGCUGCUGAUGAUUUCUACAAAGCCUGCUGUAGUGUUGCUGUGGCCUCUGCUUAAAAAAGUAGAAAACACAUUGAUGCAGCAUGUUCACCCCAACCUCCCUGCCUAAAGGCUCAGGGACCAUCUUGGAAGAGGAAGGCGCGUGAGAUUGUAAGAGCCGAAUUAGGGGGAUGGAGUGUGGAGAAUAAGGACACUUCAUCUUGGAUGCUCACCUGCCAAAUUGACUUCUGAUGAAAGCCAGCUCCAGAAAUGUGCCUACAGUUACUACUUUCACCUAAACCCUGCCCUUAGUCAAAUCCUUCUCUUCUUCUAAGCAAUCAACUUCAAUUCCUUGUAUAACCCACAGUAUAAAAGGGCUUUUAUACCAUUCUAUCCUAUUGCAUGUAAGCCUUGGGUCUGGGAGGUAACAGUGUGGGAUUCCACCAUCUCAUCUCCCUGCCACCCAAACAUGCCUGCUCUUCUUUAAGCAAUAUUAAAUGUUUGUACUUCA